AACGACUCUCGGCAACGGAUAUCUCGGCUCUCGCAUCGAUGAAGAACGUAGCGAAAUGCGAUACUUGGUGUGAAUUGCAGAAUCCCGUGAACCAUCGAGUCUUUGAACGCAAGUUGCGCCCGAGGCCAUUAGGGCGAGGGCACGUCUGCCUGGGCGUCAC
rnacentral:rRNA from 1 species